GGAGAGGCUCUCUCUCUUGCUCAAGCAUAUGGUCUGGAUUCUGAUAUUAUCUAUCAGAGACAGUGGAGAAAAUCUAGAGUCAGCAUCGCUUCCAUUCAGGACUACUUGAGUAAGAUAAAGAAAAGAUCAUGGGUCCUGCAUGAGUGUGUGGAGCGGGUUCCAGAGAAUGUGGACGCGGCCAAAGAGCUCCUGCAGUACGGCCUGAAAGGAACUGACCUUGAAGCAUUGAUCGCCAUCGGUGAUGGAGAAGACCAGGGCAGGUUCAUCUUGUCAGAUGAUUUAGAUCUGGACAAUGCUCCAUACGAAGACUUCCUUUCCAAGAGAUGGAGCAAAGAAAAGAGAUUGAAGCCACUAAGAGACAGGAACUCCUCAAGA